rnacentral:lncRNA from 1 species
GCGCGCUGGGGCGGAGCCGUGGGGCCGAGUGGUCCGCGCCCUGCGGCCUGACCUCCCGGAACGCCGGGGCCCGUGACGUCACCUCGCCGUGACGCGCACGCUGUAGGAAAACUGAUUAAUUAAAAGAAUUUGCCAUAUGUCUUAUGACUCUACUGGAGCUGUGGGAGAUAGAUUAGCCCUGAGCUAACAUCUGCCACCAAUCCUCCCCUUUUCUGCUGAGGAAGAUGGACCCUGAGCUAACAUCCUUGCCCAUCUUCCUCUACUUUACAUGCGGACGCCUGCCACAGUGUGGCUUGACAAGCGGUGCAUGGGUCUGCACCAGGGAUUGGAACUGGCGAACCCUGAGCCACUGAAGCCUAACGUGCGAACUUAACUGCUGUACCACUGGGCCGGCCCCCGCUUUCAUUUAUUUCUCGACCUGCUCUUUGUGGCAAACCAUCUCUAUUCUGAAGUUAUACCAAAGGAAAAAGUUAAAUCUUGUGUCAGAAUGACCAAUGAAACUCCAGACAAUAUUUUAAAUUUAGCCCAUUGGAAAUACCACCUUUUUCUUCAUUUUAUUUUGCUGCUCCACCUAUGUCUUCACUAUCUGAGGACUCUGGGUUUUUUUUUGGUUUUUGUUUUUUAAUUAAUCUCUCUCAAACUCACCUGCU